rnacentral:lncRNA from 1 species
GGUCGGCGAACGAGUGUCUGAAGCAGAGACCCUGGCGCGGCUGGGGCAGGACUUUACUGGCCACUUGCUGUCGACCCGCCUUGUGUGCGCCAUGAAGCGCAAGGCCCCCGACUCAAGGGAGGAGGCCUGUGUGCUGUGUUGCCGGGCCGAUUCGGACCCAGAGAGGUAUGGGGAGAAAUGGCGGAAGGAUGGUCUCUAUGCCCAUGAGACUUGCCUGUAUCUUGCCAGCGGGCUCCCUGUGAGACACACCAGUGAGACAGGAACCGACAAGUUCCUUCCGGCGGAUAUCAGGCGUGCAGUGAAGCAGACAACUCGGAAGAUGAAGAGCUAGCAGGGGCGUGGGGAGGUUUGUGGUGGCAUGGGUUUGUGCGGGCUCAGCCUGGCCCAUGGGAAGGCAAUCCUGGGGUUUUCCGUCAGUCCCAGGAGCUCCAGAGAGGAUCCAGGAGAAGCCGGAAGUCCAGUCCCUGAGGUGGCUCUGCAGGACGCGACUGCGCAGCGUCCCCAUCCCUGCAGCCUUGGCAAAGGUGUGGGCAGGCCUUGGGGGGCCCCGAGCAUGUCUCUGAUGAGGGGUUGCUGUGCUCUUUCCAGCUCUGCUACGUCUGUGGUGAGCGCGGGGCCAUCACUAGCUGCCGGCAGAAGGGCUGCAAGCGCAGCUUCCACUUCCCGUGCGGCUGYRAAGAYGGCUGCGUCUCGCAGUUCUUUGGGCAGUACAGGUCCUUCUGCCGGGAACAUCUCCCGGAGCAAAGAGUGCAGGCGCAGCUGGAUGGGGAGACCUUCUGCCUCAUUUGUCUGGAGCCCGUGGAGGAAAAGCUCUCCCGCCACACUCUGGUGUGCCCUGCAUGUACGCACACGUGGUUCCACCAGGGCUGCAUCCAGCAAUAGGCUCUCGGGGCAGGCUUCUUCUGCUUCCAGUGCCCGCAGUGUAAAGACAGGGAGACAUUCCUGUGGGAAAUGUCUUCCCUGGGCAUCCGAGUGCCCCUCAGGUUGGUUCUYUCCUGCCCUUGCCCUGUGCCCAYGAGRCAGAAGAGGGGCAYGAGCCUAAGSGGCAGGGGAKGCUCAUGCCCUUGCUUGGCUUCAACCCGGCAGACAACCCACGUGGGAGGCAGASGGUGCCUUUGCCGAGYUGUAYGAGAGGCACCGUSGAUGUGAYGCCAGCCGGUGUCUUYGUGCGCGYGGCCGAGAAGAGGCAGCAGAAGAGGGGUAAGUCAGCAAAGCUGCAAUUUCCCCMCUGCCCACRUGGCRGCAGGUGCCUUGGU